rnacentral:rRNA from 1 species
UUCUUGCAAUCAAUAAGAAGUAAUUCCUGCCCAGUGAUAUUAUUCAACGGCCGCGGUAUCCUAACCGUGCAAAGGUAGCAUAAUCACUUGCCCAUUAAUUGUGGGCUAGAAUGAACGGACCAACGAAAUAAAAACUGUCUCUAUAAGCCUCAUAAAAAUUAAUCUCUAACUGAAGAGUGUUAGAUUAAAUCGAAGGACAAGAAGACCCUAUAGAGCUUCAUUUUAAUAAAGACUUAAACUUUAAUAAAAUUCGGUUGGGGCGACCAGGGAAAACUAAUCAUCCCUUAUUAAAAGAUAAAUAAAUCUAAAUACUGACCCUUAGAAAGAUCACAAGAACAAGCUACCUUAGGGAUAACAGGCUAAUCCUAUUAAAGAGUCCUUAUCAAUAAUAGGGGUUGGCACCUCGAUGUUGGCUUAGGGAAUCUAUGUGGCGCAAAAGUCACAUAAAGAUGGUUUGUUCAACCAAUAACACCCUACAUGAGCUGAGUUCAGACCGGCGUAAGCCAGGUUAGUUUCUAUCCUCGAUAAAAUAAUCUAUUUAUAGUACGAAAGGACCUAAAUAAGAAUAAUAAUUAUAAUAAAAGAAAUAAUAUAAUAUAAAUUUAAAAUACACAUUACAUAAACUAUG